rnacentral:rRNA from 1 species
CAGGACGAACGUUGGCGGUGCGCUUAAUGCAUGCAAGUCGAGGGAGAACCAUUCGUUUCGUAAGAUCCAGAUGGGGAAACCGGCGAACGGGUGCGUAACACGUGAGGAACCUGCCCCGAAGACCGGGAUAGCCCGGGGAAACCCGGAUUAAUACCGGAUACCCUCAUCGGACCGCAUGGUCUGAUGAGGAAAUGGUCAGCCGCUUCGGGAUGGCCUCGCGGCCUAUCAGCUUGUUGGUGAGGUAACGGCUCACCAAGGCUAAGACGGGUAGCUGGUCUGAGAGGACGAUCAGCCACACUGGGACUGAGACACGGCCCAGACUCCUACGGGAGGCAGCAGCAGGGAAUAUUGCACAAUGGGCGAAAGCCUGAUGCAGCGACACCGCGUGCGGGAUGAAGGCCUUCGGGUUGUAAACCGCUUUCAGGAGCGACGAAAAUGACGGUACCUCCAGAAGAAGGCCCGGCCAACUACGUGCCAGCAGCCGCGGUAACACGUAGGGGCCAAACGUUGUCCGGAUUUAUUGGGCGUAAAGAGCUCGUAGGCGGUUCAGCAAGUCGGCUGUGAAAUUCCGAGGCUCAACCUCGGAACUGCAGUGGAUACUGCUGUGACUCGAGUCCGGUAGAGGAGAAUGGAAUUCCCGGUGUAGCGGUGAAAUGCGCAGAUAUCGGGAGGAACACCAGUAGCGAAGGCGGUUCUCUGGGCCGGCACUGACGCUGAGGAGCGAAAGCGUGGGUAGCAAACAGGAUUAGAUACCCUGGUAGUCCACGCCGUAAACGUUGGAUACUAGGUGUGGCGUCCCGAUUAACGGUCGCCGUGCCGAAGCUAACGCAUUAAGUAUCCCGCCUGGGGAGUACGGCCGCAAGGCUAAAACUCAAAGGAAUUGACGGGUCCCCGCACAAGCGGCGGAGCAUGCGGCUUAAUUCGAUGCAACCCGAAGAACCUUACCUGGGUUUGACAUCACGGGAAAAGCUGUAGAAAUACAGUGUCCAUUAGGGCCCGUGACAGGUGGUGCAUGGCUGUCGUCAGCUCGUGUCGUGAGAUGUUGGGUUAAGUCCCGCAACGAGCGCAACCCUUAUCCUAUGUUGCCAGCGGUUCGGCCGGGGACUCAUAGGAGACUGCCGGGAUAACUCGGAGGAAGGCGGGGAUGACGUCAAGUCAUCAUGCCCCUUAUGUUCAGGGCUGCACGCAUGCUACAAUGGGUGAUACAACGGGCAGCGACC